rnacentral:lncRNA from 1 species
AGGAGAGCAGUUGAGAGGCUAUUGUCUUCCAGGCGAGAGAAGAUGGCGGCUCAAACUAGAUUUGUGGCAGUAGAAUGAGUGGAUGGAUUCUCGAUGUAUUUUAGUGGUCGCGUUAACAGAUUUUUCCAUUGGAGUGGAUUAGGGAGUGAGGGAAAGGAAGGAGUCAAUAAGAACUCUUGGGUUUCUGUUUGAGCACUGAGUGGAAAAUGAAGCCAUUUACUGAAGGGGGCAAGUGUGGGGAGAAAACAAGUACAUGUAGAGAAAUCCAAACUUCUGCUGUGGAUAUAAUAAGUUUGAGAUACCUGAGAGACAGCCAAAUGGAAACGUCCAGAAGGGAUAAACAGUCCAGAGCACAGAGAUCUGGUGUGAAUUAGGCUCUCCAUUAGACUCUCUAUUUAAAUUUUUCCUUCAAAGCAGUUAUCACAGUUUGAAAUUAAGAUUUAUGUUUGCUUUUUCUUUAGGGAUGAAUCUCAGUCCCUACAGAGAUUUUCUUGAAAAAGCAACUUCAU